rnacentral:rRNA from 1 species
UACGUAGGGUGCGAGCGUUGUCCGGAAUUAUUGGGCGUAAAGAGCUCGUAGGCGGUGUGUCGCGUCGGCCGUGAAAACCUGGGGCUCAACUCUGGGCGUGCGGUCGAUACGGGCAUCACUUGAGUUCGGCAGGGGAGACUGGAAUUCCUGGUGUAGCGGUGAAAUGCGCAGAUAUCAGGAGGAACACCGGUGGCGAAGGCGGUUCUCUGGGCCUUACCUGACGCUGGAGGAG